CAGUUAUUUUGCAGUUCGAUUAUCAGAUUAGGAAAGAGUGACUUUAUUUAUAUUGCAAUUCCCAAACAUCGAUAACGAUUAUGACCUUGGUUUUUGAUUAGAUGUGGAACUAGAACUAGGAAUGACAAAAUAAAUUUUAUCUGUAUCCCACUCCAAAUCCAAUCGCUAUCGAAAAUUUUAUUUGGUAGUCCGGAGCAAA